GACGAACGCUGGCGGCGUGCUUAACACAUGCAAGUCGAACGGAAAGGCCCUGCUUUUGUGGGGUGCUCGAGUGGCGAACGGGUGAGUAACACGUGAGUAACCUGCCCUUGACUUUGGGAUAACUUCAGGAAACUGGGGCUAAUACCGGAUAGGAGCUCCUGCUGCAUGGUGGGGGUUGGAAAGUUUCGGCGGUUGGGGAUGGACUCGCGGCUUAUCAGCUUGUUGGUGGGGUAGUGGCUUACCAAGGCUUUGACGGGUAGCCGGCCUGAGAGGGUGACCAGCCACAUGGGGACUGAGAUACGGCCCAGAAUCCUACGGGAGGCAGCAGUGGGGAAUAUUGCACAAUGGGCGGAAGCCUGAUGCAGCAACGCCGGGUGCGGGAUGACGGCCUUCGGGUUGUAAACCGCUUUCGCCUGUGACGAAGCGUGAGUGACGGUAAUGGGUAAAGAAGCACCGGCUAACUACGUG
rnacentral:rRNA from 1 species